AACAAUGUUAUUAUAACAAAUAUACUAUCUUUCCAAGUUAGAGAUCCUAGGAUUAGGAUAUUGU
rnacentral:tRNA from 1 species